GUGGACACAAAGGGCAGCUGCUUUCGUAUAAGUUUUAAUCCGAAGUGCGAGAAACUGAGUUAUGGUUUGGGUUUAGGGUUCUUGUAAUUUCCUCUUUCUGCUUCUCUGCUCGUCUGGUUUUUCUGGGGAUCGAUCCGGCCUGUGCGACGGCGACGUUUUCAUAUCGGGUCGAUAUCCGUUUGGGUGGCUUUCGCAGAUCGGCAAACGGAGUCAGAGACGACGUAUAGCAGCCAGUACUCUUAUCUGUAAUUGAUCCGUCUCUCAUCAUUUGGCUACGGAGUAUUAAGUUCUGCAAAAAUGAACGGAAAUGGACAAAUGGAGGUGCAUUACAAAGACACCGGCUUCCCUUACACGGCGACAGAAAGCUUUAUGGUGGACUUCUUUGAUGGUCUUACUCAUGUGCCCCUGAACUAUGGUCACCCCAUGACCGUACAUGAUCAGGUGUAGUUGGGACUUGGGAGAGGCCUAGACGAGAUAUCCUGGAAUUUCAGUAAUUUGUGAACAAGUAAUUCCAUCAACUGGGUGAUGAACGUUUUUCAUAUUCGUUGUACCAGGUUAGUGACUCAGUAUAGUCAAACUGAAUUUCUGUUUUACUAUUAGCGGUUCCAGAUUCAGGUUUUAUCAUAUAGGUGUCCUAAUAACUUUUUUCCAGUAGAGUUUGAGAUUGAAUAUGGGCAGUUACACCUGUGGCUAUGCUUCUCUUUAAUCUGGUAUCUUACAUUUGCCAUGGUUCCUUACGAAUGAAGAGAUGAGAUAAAACCUAAAUGCCUCCAUCAACUGCUUAAACGUCAUAUUGAGAAAUAAUCUGAACAAAAAUAGGAACACACCUAAUAGAUGAUUUAGAUCUGAAUAUGACUGAUUUAAUUACAGUAUAUAUCAUCAUGAAAGGAGUAGUAGGCAUAAGUAAACAUAAGUAAUACUCCAUUUACUACUAAAAGUAGGAUCCUACAUCCCACAUAUUCCAUUUACUACUGAAAGUAGGAUGCUACAUCCCUUUAAGGUAAACAUUAGUAAUGAGUUCCAUCUGCACGAUAGAGUAGCAUAAAAAAAUUCUAGUAAAAGACAUCGCAUUUUUUGCAUAUUUGCAGAUAUAUAUAGUCGCACAGGAGUAGCAAUGAGUUAUGUGAGAAUAGAAAAUGAAACAGCCAAGAUCAGAUCGUCCACCAAAGAUGCAUUUUGAUAGAAAAAACCAAUCUAUUUUAGAUGAAGAAGACUUCUUGGCCUGUAAUCUAGUUGGACAAAUAACUAUAAACUGGUAACGAAAACUUCUUGAUUGGCCUUGUUUAAUAUGCAAAUCUUUUCAUUAGAGAGACAUGUAUAUGAUAGUUGUACUGUGAUGUUUAGUUGUAUCUUACUUGCAUCUU